UCAUGUAAGAUUAUGAUACAAAGUAUUGGCAGCAGUGCUACAGUUUGAAAAAUGACCCUGUGCUGGCCAUAUAUAGAGAGAUAUAAUAGCUUGAAAAAAUGACCCUGCGCUGGCAGCAUUUAUAAUAAUAAAAUGACCCUGCGUAUAAUAAUAAAAUGACCCUGUGCAGGCAGCAUAUAAUUCAGAAAUUCAACAAGCCCCCAUUUCCCACAUCAACUCGGCUUUUUUGCAGAUAUUUCUUGAAAAAUGAUCCUGCGCUGGAAUUACAUAGAAAGAUAUGGCCGCGCUUCUCAAAGAAAUCUUGUAUUUAGUCCACUCUUUCGAUCUUCAUCGUUGGAGUUCAAGAUUCCUGCAAACAAGACGCAAUGUUGUCAUAUAGCUCUCGUCAGUUCCAAAAUCCCAAGAGUCAGCACAGGGCUGUUGUAUAGCCCCAUCCGCUUAAAAAUUUCAGAAGCAGCGUAGGAAAAUGAUAAAUAUAAGACAACGUCACUCAGGGCAGAUCACCACACGAUCACCACACGAUCAGUGGAUAACUCGUUUUCUCAAACCCACCACAUUUAACACCACAAUAUACAUACACCUAUACCGAUAUGCAGGUAUAAUGCUGGCACUGACUAGAAUAGCAGCAGGAGGUAUCUGGUUCAUCAGGAAUUAAUGUAGUAAAAAAAAUAACUUAGCCUCUCCUUGAAGACCACCGCCUGCGCUGCCCUCUUAAUGCUCUAAUUUCCCUUGAAGACUGCCGCCUGCGCUGCCCUCUUGAUGCUCCAAUUUCCCUUGAAGACCACCACCUGCUCAUCAAGAAGUCAUCCAGGCUCUGAGAAAACCAUAAGUGUGUAACUCUCUGGUUGCAUUAGUUCGGAAAUAACCCAAAUUCAUAGCAAAAUCAGAAUGAAAUCAUCUCGACAUUCGCCAAUACUCCAUUUAGCAUUUUAACAAUGUUCGAAACGUGUUUCACAAAUUCAAAGGCAAUCAAAGGCAUAUGCGAUCUAGUUUUCCCAAAUAAGAAUAACAAUACAAAUGCUACACCAAUACCCACUAAGAUAGCAGCCGAAUAACAUAACCCAAUUUCCCCGAUCAAUUCCAAAGUAGGUUAAAUUUAAAGAGAAAAACAGAGAUAACUUAGCUUCUUCGUGUGGAGAUAUUCAUCCCUGAUUCAAAGUCUUAUUGUAUUUCCCAAAAUCUUGCUCUAAGAGUGUUAGAUAAACUGAUUUCAUCGAAUCAAGAUAACAAAGAUAAGGUACAAGGUAGAACAAUAGCUAAUGAUCGGAUCACACAAUAAUUGACCCAAAAGUUGAAAUCUCAACACCAGGUUCUCACACAGAUUCAAUAGACACCCAACAAUUAUCUCCAAAUUAUUUAAAUGCAAUGCCCAUGCCUUAGCCAAUUAAAGUUAGCACUCAAAUGGUUAAAUCAACACCAACUUUGAUAGUAGUAAAAGAAGCAUGACUGAUUCCAACAAAACAAAAGAAUAGUGAAGCACUUAGCUCUUGUUGGAAGAGGGUUCACUGCCCUGUUUAGUCGAGACUGCUCGCCGGGGAAACGAAGCAGCCAAGCCAGAGAAGGCUUUGAGAAAUUGAGACUGAGCUGAGGCGACACCGCCGAAUCGCGAAUGCCCAAUAGUGGCUUCCCCACAUAUCUUUGAUUUGACUGUGAUUUCUUUCUUUUUGACAUGAUGAAGCCCAACCAAGCAUUUCCAUUCUAGCAAUUACAAGCUAAACGAACAAAAAGAAGAAGAAAUCAGAAUCCCCAAAAUUUCUAUAAGUAAUUGAAAUAAUAGCUGAAUGAAAAGAAGCAGAUAGCGUCGAUUGCUAUCAAUAGACGCGAUUCUCCAGGCUGGCAAGAAGUUGCCGUUUGGUGGCGAUAAACCCAGAUCGGAGCUGUGGCAGCUAGGGGUGAGCAAAAAG
rnacentral:lncRNA from 1 species